GGGCGGAGGACAUUGUCAG
rnacentral:snRNA from 1 species